rnacentral:miRNA from 1 species
UGUGUGUGUGUGUGUGUGUGUACACACACACACACACACACACACACA